AGUUUGUUGAGAAAAUACUUGAGGGACAACAGCCUAUUUUUCCUGCCGGACGUAAGGAUGUGGAAAUGCUACGUUGGCAGAUUGCAGUCACUGUGCUGGAGGCAUCAGAUGACUUGACAGAUAUCUGCUGCAUCUGAGGACAGAAAGACAAUCCCAAAGAGAAGAAGAGCAUCAUUUGGAUAUCCUGUGAUGUGUGCUUGAGGUGGUUUCACCAUGUUUGCUGUGAAUGUCCAAACACAUCAGCAGCUUUUAUUUGUAAGGCCUGUUGAGGGAACAUGACUUGUUGAAGUUUUUCACAACUCUGCAAUUUGUUCAGUGUUUAUUUACAGGUGGAAUUACACCAAUUGUUUUUAUACUAUUAUUUAUUUUAGAUUUUAAAAAUAAGCACAUUGUAUUUAUGUUGAAUACUUAUCUUAAUUGAAUGACCUAUGUUUAAACAACAUGUUC